rnacentral:ncRNA from 1 species
GGGGACCUUCGGGGCCCUAUACCAACCAUAGGCGGGCGUGCCCGCCGCAAGCAGACGGAAGACAGGAA